rnacentral:rRNA from 1 species
AUACAGAGGGUGCGAGCGUUAAUCGGAAUUACUGGGCGUAAAGCGCGCGUAGGCGGUUAUUUAAGUCAGAUGUGAAAUCCCUGGGCUCAACCUAGGAACUGCAUCUGAAACUGGGUAACUAGAGUUUAGGAGAGGGGAGUAGAAUUUCGGGUGUAGCGGUGAAAUGCAUAGAGAUCCGAAGGAAUACCAGAGGCGAAGGCGACUCCCUGGCCUAGAACUGACGCUGAGGUGCGAAAGCGUGGGGAGCAAACGGGAUUAGAAACCCUAGUAGUCC